rnacentral:rRNA from 1 species
UACAGAGGGUGCUAGCGUUGUUCGGAAUUAUUGGGCGUAAAGCGCGUGUAGGCGGCCUAGCAUGUCGGGUGUGAAAGCCCUCGGCUUAACCGAGGAAGUGCGCCCGAAACUACUAGGCUUGAGUCCCGGAGAGGGUGGCGGAAUUCCCGGUGUAGAGGUGAAAUUCGUAGAUAUCGGGAGGAACACCAGCGGCGAAGGCGGCCACCUGGACGGAAACUGACGCUGAGACGCGAAAGCGUGGGGAGCAAAC